AAGGCUUUAGCUUAAUUAAAGUACCUGUUUUGCAUACAGGAGAUGUGGGGUAGUGUCCUGCAAGUCUUA
rnacentral:tRNA from 1 species